UACGUAGGGGGCAAGCGUUGUCCGGAUUCACUGGGCGUAAAGCGCGCGCAGGCGGUGAUGUAAGUCUGAGGUGAAAACCCGAAGCUCAACUUCGGGACUGCCUUGGAUACUGCGUCACUUGAGGAUAGGAGAGGCAAGGGGAAUUCCACGUAUAGCGGUGAAAUGCGUAGAGAUGUGGAGGAACACCUGUGGCGAAGGCGCCUUGCUGGCCUAUUUCUGACGCUGAGGCGCGAAAGCGUGGGGAGCAAACAGG
rnacentral:rRNA from 1 species